rnacentral:lncRNA from 1 species
CGCUAGAGCCACAGCAAGUUCCUCCUCGGAAUCGUACACUUUCACUUCCGCUUUACUUUUCCCGGUCAUUUUCUCAGCCAUUGAUGAUUUUGUUCUGAACUGAGAUCUCGAAGAAUUUGUACUCAACACUGAGUUUCUCCGAUGCAGGUGGGAGCAGAAAAGUGGCUUUCCAGCAACGGACGGAGAGGUCAACGGAAGAGUUCGUCGGAGAGGAGAGAAUCGGGUAGGUGAGAUGUGCAAGUUAGCAGAGAGAGCGGGAGGAGAGGAAGCUAAGUUCAGUGCGCACUCUGCCAUGUUAAAUAAGAAUGAAGAGACUUGUCCAUCGGCCUUGCGUCCAACAAUUGCUUUCUCUCUCCAGUUUUCGCUGCCUUCUGCUGUGGGCUUACACUAUUAUAUAUCUGUGCAAUAUACAGUGAUUUCAUCUUCCUGUUUUAGGGCAGAAAAAUACAUAAAUGAGUUUUAAAAUUUACUCCUUUUUAAUCAACAUUGAACAUUUAUCGAAUUUAUAUGUUAGAUUUGACGAGAAUAAAAGAAAAAAAAAAGAUUUCCACCUGAAAUACUAAGAAAGUUCUAUUAUAUUCUAAAAUAUACAAUCACAAAAAAAAAUUAUACUACACACUAAUAUAAGAUUCAAAGAUUAGUCGAAAUUAUAUCUUAAAAAACUAUACCAGACUUUAGAAAUAAAACAGAAAUAGUAACUAUAAGAAUUAUACCUGCAAGGCUCCAAAUGUGAGUUUCUCCUAAUUUUCUUUUUCUUCAAAUCUAAGUAUCUAGCCCAUGGGAUUUGGUAAAUAUUGACAGAGAUUAAAAAUGGGAUAGGGUGGGGUAGGGAAAGAGGUUAGUAAAUCAGAUUUUUUCUAAACAAGCAAAGCUUAAACUAUUAAAACAAUAAUUGGAAAGAAGGAAAAAGAUAUCAUGCAAGGUUUCAAAUGUUUCUCAAACUCUACAGUUAAAACUUGCGCGCAUUCAGAUAUGUUGUUGUUAAAACAGAUAAAUUUGCUGCCUUUGAUGAAAGAAAUCUAGAGGAUAAAGAUAACUUAAAUCACCAAAACCUGUUUAGUGCACACAAUGCUGAUCCACAUAACAUGAGAACUAAAUUAUUAACAACUAUAGGAAGUAGAGGAGGUAUAUAUACUGCAGUUAAAUGCACAUGUAAUGAAUCAUCUCAACCACACAAAAAAGAUUGCUCCAUGGAAAGCCAACCUCCAACACAUGCUUUUCUUUUCGUUAUUGAUAAUCGUGGUGUCCGGGCCAGUUUGUACCAUCACCUCUAACACAUACUGGGUGGUUCAAAACAGAUUCCACUGGACCAUAAAGUUUAUGUCUUUAUAGGUGCAAUCGUUUAUUUGACAACAAUUCAUGCCGACUUUUUGUUGAAAAUCACGAAGGUACCAGAACUAAAUGUUAGAGCCUCUCUAUUUUUUAUUUUUUAUUUUAAAAUAGCUUACAACACUCAAUCAUAGGUAAAACAUUCAAACAUAGGUAAAACAUUUAAAGUGAAAAGAAUGGGACCAAAAACAUACUUCAUAAAAAAAUGGGAACAAUAACAUAUAUUCAAGUUAACCAACUUUGCAAAAAGAAAAAGAAAAUAGAUAUGAAAAAAGGAACGAAAAGAAUUGUAGUGAGCUAAUUUAGAUAGCAUAAUAGGCAUUGUCUUCUAAAUCAAUGGUCAAUGACAUGAUUUUGGUAUAGGAUUGAGAGAACUGCAGGCUAACAUGAAAAAGUUAAUCUUUACUCCCUCCAACUCGAUUUAUGUGAUGGUGCUUGCCUGGGCACAUAAUUUGAGAAGGAAAGAAAAGACUUUGGAACUUGUCAAGUCUAAAAUAAACCAUAGAUAUUUGAGUGGCUAUAAAUCCUCUCAUUAAGGGUAAAAUGGACAUUUUAAAGUUAAAAUGUUACUAAAUAUAGAAAGGUGUCAUUCUUUUUGGGACUAACUAAAAAAGAAAAUAGUGUCAUAUAAAAUUAAGACAGAAAGAGUAAAAAAGAUGGUGUUUGGGCCAACUUGGUACACCUCAAUUAUUCCACCAACUACAUGCUACCUUCCACUAGUACAGACACCGGAUAACUCUGUCUAACAAAGCUUAGGCAGAUGGAAAUAAAACCCGAGCUCCACUUAUAUUAAUCACUAGGCCACACUAUCAGUUGCUAGAUAAAAAAAUGCUUUUUAAAACAAAAUUGGCAAGUGCUAAAUAGGCAUUGCCUCUCUAUAAACUACCCUGCCAAUGUCAUGAUAUUGAAAUAGGAUUGAGAGAAUGUCUAUAGGCUAACGUCAAAGAGAGUUUAAUUGCACAAAAUUACUGACAAAAAAAGUUUUAUUUAUAAAGAUUGUGUUUAGGCCAGCUUGUGUACGCCUCGAUUAUUCCAUCAAGUACCUGCUACCUUCCACCAACAAAGUACGGGAAACUCUAUCAAAUAAAACUUACGCUCUCUGCUGAAUAUUGAACCAUGAUCUCUAAGAGUUUCACACACUUCAUAAACCACUAGGUCAGACCCUUGAGUGCCUGAUAAAAAAGUGCUUUUUUAACACAAAAUUAGUGAGAGAACAUUGUUGCUACCCUAUCUUAAUGAACAUAUGUCAAUGCAAAUUGUAAGCAAAUUGAGAGUUUUAAUAUAUAGUUUUUAACUCUAUUAUACCUUUUUAUUAUCAGGAGAUUUUAUAGAUAUGAAAUACAAUUCUUUUACCCUUGAACUACCAUCCAUCUCUCCUCUUUUCAGUUAAGGAAAAUUAAUAAGACAUUUUCUAACAAAUUAACAAUUGCAAACCAUAGAUAAACUAGCCAGAAGGUCUUUUUAAUAAACUUCCAAACACGAAAAUGGACACAUCUUCCAAAUCCAACUAUUAAGUGAAACUCUUAGGUAAGGUUUUCCAUAACAAGUCUCUUUGCUAACUUCGCAUUGCCUUGAGAGAGUUUUACAAAAUGUUAUCUAAAUAAAUGCAUGAUAUAUAAAUGAAAACAACCCAACCUAUAAACACUACCAAAACUUAAUCAAUAUACAAUCUACUCAGCAACGAGAAAUAAAAAUCAAUAUGCUCCAUUUAAACACAAAUAUUUACAUAACUAAUCAAUUAAAGCAGGAAUCAACCAAUCGAAAUCCGGAAAACAGAUACUUAGUAACAAAAACAGAUCAGAUCUUGAAGAAAUGUACCUGAAUACCGUAACGAAUCGAUUAUAGGUUAGGUUUAUCAGCACUUGGAAGAAGAAGAAAAAUUGUAUAGAGGAGAGAGAAAGUGUGAAAUGCCUUACUCUCCUCGCUCCUCUAUAUCUGUGCAAUUUACAGUGAUUUCAUUUUACAGGUCGGGUUGCUUCCUGUUUUAGGGCAGAAAAAUACAUAAAUGAGUUUUAAAAUUUACUCCUUUUUAAUUAACAUUAAUUAUUUAUCGAAUUUAUAUGUUAGAUUUGACGAGAAUAAAAGGGAAAAAAAAAUUCCACCUGAAAUACUAAGAUAGUUCUAUUAUAUUCUAAAAUAUACAAUCACAAAAAAAAUUAUACUACACACUAAUAUAAGAUAAAAAGUUAAAAAACCAUACCAAACUUUAGAAAUAAAACAAAAAUAGUAACUAUAAGAAUUAUACCAGCAAGGCUUCAAACGUGGGACUCUCCUAAUUUUCUUUUUUUUCAAAUCUAAGUAUCUAACCCAUGGGAUUCAGUAAAUAUUGAUAGAAAUUAAAAAUAUUAACUUUUGAUAAAUUUAACUUGAAGGAUCAAAUUAGUUGGUACAUACUCGAAAAACUAUUUUAAGUCUGUCAUUAAAUGUAAAGAAUUAUUUCAGUUAUUUCCUCUAUUUAGGGAUUUUCUUGGAUGUAAAUGCAACAACAUCAACAUGGUGGAGUCAUAUUUAACAAAUUGUGACACCAUUAUUUCAUCGUGGUGACUUUUUCAUCAAGAAAUGUGUAACUCUAUUAUAUUAAUCAAUAAUUUGGAAAUUAUAGUAAUUUAAUCAAAGUAUAUUUAUUAAACGAUGAUUUUAUAUUAUUAUCAAUUUCAUACUGUUAAAAUUUCACAUUUUGAACCUGAUAGCACUUACAAUUCAAACUCAAUAUCACUAUUAACUAGUUCAAAUUUUAGUAGUUUAUAAUGCUUCAAUAGUAAUAUUAUUUUUAAAAUAGUGUAUACUUGAUAAACCUAAAAUAAAAAUGAAUCAUUUCCAUUCUAUCUAAAUAAUAAUAGCAUAACUAAAAUUAUUGUUUUUUUCGAAAAAAGAAGUUACAAUCUUUCAAAAAGCAACUCAUCUUAAAUCUGUUUGGACAAUGAACUCUAUAUUCUUGAGCGCAUUUCCCAAAUUAUUAGAUCUUCAACAUGUUUAUACCCUUCAUUUGUAGGAAAAUUGACACAUUAGUUUGUCUCUCUCCAGAUAUGAUUGAUAAAAGUAUCGUAUAUCAAAACAGUUCUUUUUCAAAUUUUCAAAGCACGCGUAUUAUAUAACAAACUUACAUUUGUAAGUCCAUUAUCCCAGAAAAAGGAACAAAUUCUCCAAAGAGUUUAUAAAGUUUAUAGGCAUUUGAUGCUUCUGUACCUGUUAUACUUUUGGACGUCUUUCUUUUAACUGGUAAUGUGAUUUAGAACUAAUUCAUUUCUUAGAACCAGUUACAUUCUUUCUUCAAACAUCUAUACAACAUACCCAUACUAGUUGAAGAAAUCUGUUAUUUGUCAUACAAAUUGGAGCCUUUUUUAAAAUUGUUAACUUUUUGAUGUUUGAAAAAAAAAAACCUGAAAAUUCCAAAAUUCUGAAUUUUUCAAAAUUUUAUAGUCAAACGUGUUUUUCAAAGUUAAACGCCCCCCUGAUUUUGUUCACAUGGUAUCAUGACCAGGUGAUGGUUUUAACCAAUAGAACAAGGGGGAUAUGUUUAUGGCACUAGGAGUGAUGAAGGAAAGGCUAUCCUAAAGAUAGUGACAGAUUUGACCAAGAUCCCAACUUAUUUGGGAUUGAGGCAUAGUUGUUGUUGUAAUUGUUCAAGUGACACAAAACAUAAGUAAAUUCUCUUCAACUGAUUGUGUGAAUUUAUAACUAAAACAGAUAUCAAUAAUUAGAUGGCAGAAUUUUUUGCUAUCUCAACUGAAACAAUGGCAGGAAUCAAGGUGCACAGGUAGCAUUUUGAAAUUCUAACACUACAGCUGAUCAAGUGACUAUCAUAAGUAAAAAUAGAUGACAAAGUAACCAUUGGAACGUACAACAAGAUUUCAAAGCCUCCUGCCUAGAUUGAGAGGUGAAGCUGACCCCGAGGAAGAGGGAAGCGUUUGUUUCACAAACGGAUGCUCCAAGAGCUGAGUAGCAGUUGGACGGGCACUUGGAUCCACUUGCAGACAGUGAUUAAUGAAAUUGCGUGCAUCUUCUGAAAGGGUAUUAGGCACAGCUGGAGGUACCCCCUUCCCAAUAUGAAACAGUACCUGCAUUGGCUGUUCUACAAAAUAUACAUGAUCACUCUUCAAAAAUAGUGAAUUUGCACACAUCAGCAUCUCCACAAAGAAGGUGUUCAAUCAAAGAAAUCUUUCUUAUCCCCCCACCCAACUCCCUCUUUUUUCAUUUUUAUAUAAACACGUUAAAGACAGUUGCACAAGGAUAACAUUUUCUAAGUUGACCAUAAUAAGAAAUAUAACGAAAGGAAACCUCAUAAACUAAUAUAGCAUUUGACAGGAGAACAGUUAUUGCUCAUGUAUUAUGAGGUAACUUCCAACUUACAGACUCUUAUUCCUCGUUCGAAAAUCCACACACACACACACACACCUUAAACAGUGGUCUUCCACUAAUCAAAUAUAACUUGCUAAAGAUCACUUAACAUAGCACAGUAACAUAAACAAACACAUUUCAUGUGAGAACAUAGAUCCCAAACAUCUACAGCUAAUGGUGCACACCUCCAAAAAAUUAUCCUCCUUACAAUAACUGGAAAAAGAGAAGACCAAAGUAAAUAGUAGGUCGAAGGCAUGCGUAAUUCCACAAUUCAAUAGCCAUUUCAUUUAGGUACAAAUACAAUUUGGUUUAGACAGCUUAAUUAAGUAUUGAUUUAUACUCUAUAUGUUUCAACAGAUCAUUCCAAUCAUCAUUUCUGGAAUAGGCCUUGUGCACAUCAUCCAAUCAAAGUGAAUAACCAGGUAUCAAAUUUCAAAAAUAAUAAGUAAUAAGUAAUAUUUAGCAUGAAUUAGCCCACCAGAUUAAGGGAUAGUGUAUUAGACCCUCAGCCUCAUGUGGCAAAAUGAAUACCAUUUCAGCAAUAACAGUUGUCUAGAUUUUACCAAUAACAAGUACCACAACAAGCUAUUUCAGGAGGAUUAGGAGGUUAUGAGUUCAAAGCCAUUGAUGAGCAUGUCUGACCAAUCAAUAUUCAAGGAAGGAAAAAGAAUAUGAAGUUUGUGGUAACAUACAUUAUCUAAGUGGGAGUAAGGAAACUGGCGAGUAAGCAUCUCUAGGACAGUGCAGCCAAGGCCCCAUUUAUCAGCUGCAAGUCCAUAACCUGGGUUCUCCCUGUUCACAACCUACAUAGAAGAUGGGAUUCAAAUUUUAAAAAAUGAAAUAAAUAAGUGGAUGUGUUAACAACCCACAAUAAAACUACAUGGUAAACAAAAUUUUGCAGUGGUUCACUCAUACAAACUUGAACUAUCUAUAGAUAUUAGAUUUUCUACCAUAUGUAUUACUAAUUAGUGAUAUAAGUGCAUUGUUUCAUCUAGAAAUACUCCUAUGACUUCCUUUUUGGAUACACAUGAACCCAAAAAGAACACUGAAGAAUUCAUUCUGCAACCUCAAACUCAGAAUAAAUAGACAAGUUAUUUAGAUUUGCUUGUAGAAGUUGUAAAGAAUAGAGAACUCGAGCUACUACAAAACUAUUUGGGCUUAAAUUUUUGGAUUCAGGAGGAGAAGACCAAUGAAAUGUCACAUCUAAUAUUUAGAUAUAGGCCAAUACAUUGAUAAGAAGGUAAAUUAAGCAAGCUGACAGAAAAUUAACAAGUCAGGCAAACCUAAGAUCUACAUAUGCAAUGUGAACCACCUCUAUCACACAUCCACACACCACUAAAAAUCUGCAUCACCUAUUUUCAAAUUGAGCUUGACAUACAGGCUCAAUCUUUAACAAAGGAGGAAACAAUUUUCCUCACACUAGAUAUGAGAUCAUAGGUUUGGCCCAUCACCCAUGAGGCAUACGCUAGAAGCUGCUAUCAAUAACUUGGUUUUGAGCUUUUGAAACUGCAAGAAACAAACCAAACAAGUUUCUCUGGCUAGCAGCUUGACACACAAAUCAUUACACAUUGGGUGACUGAGAAACCUUGUCGAGUAGCUAUUUUCAAUAUCUGCCUACAAGCACUAGUUCACUCAAAAGGAUAAUAAUAACUAGAGCAACAACUCAAAUUCAUAUUUAAACAGUUCACCAUGUGAAAAAAUUAACACUAUAAGCUAAGACCACAAGACUCUUAGUGUGCGUGCCAAUUGCGGGUUCUUUCAAAGAUUACUAAAUCCUGUUUCUCAAAGCUGAAUGGUAAUUGCUAAGAAGCAAGUAUGAGAACACGAGACUCCUGUUGCAUGCGGCAAGUACAUGUUUUCCCAAAAGAGUAUUAUAUCCAUUUCUUGAUGCUAAUUGAUGAUUGCUAAGAAACAGGAAUGAAAGAACCCCAAACUCAUUAAUGUACUCGGAAGCUAAAUUUAACACACUUAAAAUUUGAUUUCUGUUAUAUUACGUUGCAAAAUGCACCAACAUUGAUGUUCUUUAUCACACCAAAGCAGUCCCCUAUAAAGAUUUGCAAUAUUACAUAUAUAUUUAGAUUAGCCGAUUUCCUUUUAAUCAUCAAAAGACAAAUCAAAGCUUACCUCAGGAGCCAUCCAGAGUGCAGUACCCUUGAAAGACUUGACAACAUUCAACUUAGUAGCCUGGAUGCAUGUCGAAUGAAUCCACUUAUCAGAAAUUGUGACAUACAAAAAAGAUUAAAACUCCAGGAAGUUUGGAAGACAAUAAAAGCAUCAAAAUGAGAAAGAAAAAAUAAAGGACAAGAAUGCGAUGAAAUGACAACCUUUGCAAGGCCAAAAUCAGCAAGCUUGACUGAUCCAUUAGCAUGCACCAAUAUAUUAGCGCAUUUAAUAUCUCUACAAGAAAAUAAAAUAAAGAAAAUCAAUAUCCUAAGUUAUUGUGCAGGCAUUUUCAAAGAUUUGGGACCCACCACUUUCAACUGCAAUCAAGAUACGAACAAACAUAAAAACUAAAGGAAAACAAUUUUCAUGUAAAUCCUUCUUUUAAUAAAUAAUUUUUCAUAUAGAUAAUUGACUCGUAAAAAUUGUUUAAAGGGCCACCUUCUCAGCAAUCCUUCACAAAUCACAAUUCAGGAGCCUUUUCUUUACAAGUACAAAUUAAUCACAUGCUAGCAUGAGUAUGCUCAAGUUUCUAGAUCAUUUAACCUUACAAUUUCUCAUCUUCCUAAACUUAAACAACAAACCAGAUGAGAAAACAGUGUAUAAAGACAUGCAGUACCACAAUAAAUAAAUAAAAAGUUCAUAAAGAUAUUCUAGAGUCUUUGAAAGCAGAUGAGAAAAGUGAUCGACCACGGUCAAUUAAAUAAAUAGGCAUACUGAAUUCAAAAGAUUCACUUAAAUCUCAUUAACUUGCAACCAUCCGCAAACAACUUACACCCUUCUUCAAAAGAGACAGUAGGCUUAACUCCUAAGUUAGUUCAGUAUCCAGUGUAUCACAAUAAUAGACAUAAGACAUGGGAAACAAAUAAUUAAAAUUGGUAAAAGAGAUCUAAUACAGAUAAAAAGAAGGGGCAGUAUAGAGAGCAAGAAUUUGUUGCUCUGAUUUGUCACCUGUGAACCAUAUUCCGGUCAUGCAAAUACUUCAAACCAUGUAAAAUCUGUCUUGUGUAGGCAGAUACUUGCGAAUCUCGAAGGUGACAUUUCUGGUAAAGAUUCAACAGAGAUCCUUGUGUAACCAGCUCAAGAAAGAUGUACAAUUUCGAAUCAUUCUGCAAAAAAUUUAACCAGGAGUGAAGAAAAAGAUCAACUACAGAGAGAAGAUUGCUAGACAAUGCAAAGGAGAUCGAAGUGUUAAGACCUAUUAUCCAAUUUAGUCAUGGUACUGAAAAACGUGACAACCGAAGUGAAUUUUGAAAGGAAAGACACAAGACAGAAAAUAAACAACAAACUGAAACCUAAGACAGUAUUUCACAUUUAAACUGCCAAAAGUGGAGGAUGAGACAUACAGAUCAAAGAAAUUUAGCAAGGUAAGCAUUUCUGCAUAUAGGAUCAACAUGUACGGAUAAAAUGUGCACUCUUCAGACUAAAGGCUUUUAUAUAAAAAAGUAAUCAUUCACAGGGAAAUAAUUAGAACAGUUCUUCAGAGGGGAGCCAUUUAAAGCAAGCAGAAGCACAAAAUUGAGAAGGCAUUACCUUGUCAGUUCCAUAAUAUUGGACUAUGUUCUCGUGUUCGAACUGUCUAAGAACUUCAAUCUCCUAAAAAGCCAAAUUAAAAAGAAACAUACGCAAAUCAGUGAAAAUUCCACAAAGGUAGAACAUAGGCCACCAAGAAGCACAAAGGAGAAAGCAUGAGAAUCUAGAAAUAUAAUGACAAUUUCAUAUGCUCAUAAUAGUAGCUUCCUUCAUCAUUCAAACUUAUUUCAUAGAUCUUAUAAAAGGAUGGUCCAUUUCUAGUCCAAAUACCUCUUCUUUGUUCCACUUCUAUUAACUUUUUACUGGAGGUGUGUCUCCAAAUUCCAGCACAAAUAAGUAGUUUUUGGAUAAACUCCAGCACCAACAAAAAUAUUGUACAAACCUGCUCAAGUUGGUAUAGACUUUCCCUUCCCCCAUCACCUUGAUCAAGUAAUGACACUUCCUUCACGGCAAAAAAGAAACCAUCACUGCAGCAAUGUGAACACAGAAGGUUACUUUCCAAUAGAAACUGUGAAAGCAGGAAAGGUUAAACAAGCCAUAAAAUUCUAAAAUAUAAACACAUUAGAAAGACCUUUAAAUUGGUGGAAAUAAGAGAGAAGGUUCACACUGAGUAUGCCAGAAAACUAUAAUUUUUAUUAAAAAAAUUGAUAAUUGUGGUGUCCGGGUCAGCUUACGUGCACCUUGACUAGUUCCACCGGAUACAUGUCACCUUCCACCGGCAACAGGUAUCCACUGGGACAGAUGGGAAGAAACCACCUAGAGUUUUUGUCUUUGCUGAGAUUGAAGCCAGAAAAACUAUAAUUUUAUGAAGUACAUAUCAAUCUUUUGUUUCCUUUGUGUGCUUUAUCCAAUUUAGUCAUGGUACUGAAAAACGUGACAACCGAAGUGAAUUUUGAAAGGAAAGACACAAGACAGAAAAUAAACAACAAACUGAAACCUAAGACAGUAUUUCACAUUUAAACUGCCAAAAGUGGAGGAUGAGACAUACAGAUCAAAGAAAUUUAGCAAGGUAAGCAUUUCUGCAUAUAGGAUCAACAUGUACGGAUAAAAUGUGCACUCUUCAGACUAAAGGCUUUUAUAUAAAAAAGUAAUCAUUCACAGGGAAAUAAUUAGAACAGUUCUUCAGAGGGGAGCCAUUUAAGGAAGCAAGCAGAAGCACAAAAUUGAGAAGGCAUUACCUUGUCAGUUCCAUAAUAUUGGACUAUGUUCUCGUGUUCGAACUGUCUAAGAACUUCAAUCUCCUAAAAAGCCAAAUUAAAAAGAAACAUACGCAAAUCAGUGAAAAUUCCACAAAGGUAGAACAUAGGCCACCAAGAAGCACAAAGGAGAAAGCAUGAGAAUCUAGAAAUAUAAUGACAAUUUCAUAUGCUCAUAAUAGUAGCUUCCUUCAUCAUUCAAACUUAUUUCAUAGAUCUUAUAAAAGGAUGGUCCAUUUCUAGUCCAAAUACCUCUUCUUUGUUCCACUUCUAUUAACUUUUUACUGGAGGUGUGUCUCCAAAUUCCAGCACAAAUAAGUAGUUUUUGGAUAAACUCCAGCACCAACAAAAAUAUUGUACAAACCUGCUCAAGUUGGUAUAGACUUUCCCUUCCCCCAUCACCUUGAUCAAGUAAUGACACUUCCUUCACGGCAAAAAAGAAACCAUCACUGCAGCAAUGUGAACACAGAAGGUUACUUUCCAAUAGAAACUGUGAAAGCAGGAAAGGUUAAACAAGCCAUAAAAUUCUAAAAUAUAAACACAUUAGAAAGACCUUUAAAUUGGUGGAAAUAAGAGAGAAGGUUCACACUGAGUAUGCCAGAAAACUAUAAUUUUUAUUAAAAAAAUUGAUAAUUGUGGUGUCCGGGUCAGCUUACGUGCACCUUGACUAGUUCCACCGGAUACAUGUCACCUUCCACCGGCAACAGGUAUCCACUGGGACAGAUGGGAAGAAACCACCUAGAGUUUUUGUCUUUGCUGAGAUUGAAGCCAGAAAAACUAUAAUUUUAUGAAGUACAUAUCAAUCUUUUGUUUCCUUUGUGUGCUGGGCGAUCAAACCAAUAUCUUCUUCACGCAGCCUGACUUUUGUAAAUGAUGUAAACAUUAUCAUUCAGACAUGCUCAGUGCUUUGCACAAUCUGUAAUGCUUCUGUAGCACUUUCGUAGGGCUACCUUCCUAUCAAUAAAAGCUUACACUAAUCUAUCAAGAAAAUCCAACUAGUUGGACUCAUCAAUAAAUCAUUAUUGCAGAAGAGAAAAAAGACAAAUUUUCUUAUUAACCAUUAAGUUCUCUGCUAUGGUCAGAUUAACCAAAUUAUUAUGUAUCUUGAAUCUCAUCAAGAUAGUAAAAAUUCACAAAUAUACUUCCCUUUAUCUAACAGUGUCCUCUCCUAACUGUAGCCAAUCUUCUUCUUUUUUUUUAUAACAAGAAAAACCCGAAGCCGCUACCCUUUGGGUGAUCAUAGGGUAAAACCCCGCUCCUAUGCAAUAGCUCGCAAACCACAUAAGAGAGGUAACCCACACUAGGCAAGCCCGGUGCGACGAGCUCGACCCAGAAGGCAAACCCCUUGCUUUCGCUGUCAAGGGGUUUCGAACUUGAGGAGGGUAACUGUAGCCAACCUUAAAUUACACUGUAUAUUCAUACAAUACAUAUUCAGCACUGAACGUCAAGUAACUAUUUUCUUAACAAUGGAAUAUCUUUUUGAAAUAUAAAGUUUCUUAUACCUUAAAUUGAUUAAUGAUAAUUAGAUAACAGCUUCCAUUACCAAAUCCUCAGAAAUAUAUUACUUCCUUAAGAUUUAGAAUCACAAAUAACAUCUUGUAUUAUCUUGAUACAUCAAAUACUACAUAAGCCUUCAUUCCUUGAAGCUCUAUUUAGUAGUUCCACUUUCGAACAGACAGAUGUGCUUGCCUUCAAUAUAAACCGAGGCUAUGAGAAAUCUGUUUCCUGGUCUAUUAAUUUUGAGAUAAUGAGAUUUUGCACCAAAAUCACAGCCGAGAAAAGUAGCUGUAAACGAAAAAUUUGAUCCACCAUAUAAAGAACCCCAUAAUAAAGGGGUGUUUGUUUCUAGAAAAUCAUGCUAAAAAUUGGAAAGCAAAAAAAAAUAAUGAAGAAGAGUCAUAGCAUUGGGCUUACUGUGAAAUUCCUUCAUAGACGGAUCCAAAAGAUCCACAUCCUAGGAGACCACCCUUGUCCCAUCCUGUAAUGAAGCGUGUGAAUCUCCCAUUCGGUGAGAUGAUUGACAUACUCUCUGUCGUGCCGCUGGAAGAAUCGUCAUCAUUUGAAGUAUUGGCAAAAAUUACUGACCAAAUAAUUUUUAUUUAUAAAGACAGUGUUUAGGCCAACUUGUGUACACCUCGAUUAUUCCAACAAAUACCUACUACCUUCCACCAAUAAAGUACCGGGAAACUCUAUCUAAUAGAACAUAAGCUCUCUACUGAAAACUGAAUCAUGAUCUCUAAGAGUUUCACCCACUUUAUAAAUCACUAGGUUAGACCCUUGAAUGCCUAGUAAAAAAGUCCCUUUUUAACACAAAAUUGGAGAGAGAACAGUGUUGCCACCCUAUCUUAAUGAACAUAUGUCAAUGCAAAUUGUAAGCAAAUUGAGCGUUUUAAUAUAUAGUUUUAAAAUCUUAUAUACCUUUUUAUUAUCAGGAUAUUUUAUAGAUAUUAAAUACGAUUCUUUUACAUUUGAACCACAUCCUUUAACAUAGGAGCAGGGUGAUACCAAAUCCCCCACCCCGCAAAAACAUUUCAAAUUUUUCAUCAAGCCAACGACAACAAUUUUAUAACCAUACCCUCUUCUAACUGAGAGAGCUACUAACCAUACCCUCUACCAUCUGAGAGAGCUAAGUUUAAAUUAUGUACUCCCUUUGUCCCAAUUUUGUGGCAGCCUGUGGAUUUUGAGAAUCAAUUUUUUUAAUUUUAACCGUGAAUGCAAAAAUUAAAUCUUGAUUUUUUAUUGGAAUAAAAUUUACAAAUUUGAAACUAUGUAAAAUGUAUUAUAAGUCACGGUAAUUGACAAUUUAAAAAAUUUGCAAGCCAUUUGAAAAAUAUUUAGUCAAAAAAAAAACUUGUUUGACUUUCAAACCCAAAAUGUGCCACAUAAAUUGGGAUGGAGGAAGUAUAAAAGAUGAGCAACAUAAUCAGCUAGAUAGCCUAGGUUGUUUAACUUGUAAAAGAACAUUAAAUAUCAAAAUCUCUCUCAAUAUCCCAACUUUGGCACUUUGCAACCCAAAAAUAUGAAAACAACAGUAAUUGUGCCUGAUCAAAACUCAAAUAUGAGCAGCAAGGUCAUUCAAAACUAGGAGAAUAUCUCCAAAUUGUGUUCAGGGAUCUUCAUCCUCUAACUAUGUUAUUAACAAUUUAUACAAGAUAUCCACAACAAACUGAACAGAACAAUAGAACAUAAUAGCUCAAUUGUAACAGUUAAUAGCAUCAUCAUCACUUCAAACAAGUACUUAUGUCCCAAACUCGCCCUUUCGAACAGGAUUCCCAUUUAUCCUCUUUUCAAUUAAAGAGAACUAAUAAGAUAUUUUCAAACAGAUUAACCAUUGCAAUACAUAGAAAAACAAGCCAGAAGGUCCUAUUUAAAAACAUCCAAACAAGAAAAGUGACCAAUUUUCCGAUUCCAACUAUUAAGUAACACUCUCAGGUAAUGUUAUCCAUAACAAGCCUUUUUGCUAACUUCACAUUACCUUGAGAGAGUUUUAGAAUAUGUUAGGUAAAUAAAUGCAUAGUAUAGAGAUAAAAAAAACAACACAACCUAUAAACAAUACCAAAACUUAAUCAAUAUGCAAUCUACUCAGAAACGAGAAAUAAAAAUCAAUAUGCUCCAUCUAAACACAAACAUUUACAUAACUAAAUCAAUUAAAGCAGGAAUCAACCAAUCGAAAUCCGGAAAACAGAUACUUAGUAACAAAAACAGAUCAGAUCUUGAACAAAUGUACCUGAAUACCGUAACGAAUCGAUUAUAGGUUAGGUUUAUCUGCACUUUUGUAUAUAGACCCGAUUUGAAGAAGAAAAUUUAUAUAGAGGAGAGAGAAGGAAGGAGAGAGAAAGUGUGUAUGCAGUAUGCCCUACUCACCUCGCUCCUCUAAUCUAAUCUUUCCGGAAGAUUUGAGGGUUUGCGUCCAACAAUUGCUUUCUCUCUCCAGUUUUCGCUGCCCUCUGCUGUGGGCUUACACUAUAUCUGUGCAAUUUACAGUGAUUUCAUCUUACGGGUCGGGUUGCUUCCUAUUUUAGGGCAGAAAAAUACAUAAAUGAGUUUUAAAAUUUAAUAUUUUUAAUCAGCAUUAAAUAUUUAUCGAAUUUAUAGUUUAGAUUCGGCGAGAAUAUAAGAAAAGAAAAAAAAAUUCACCUGAAAUACUAAGAAAGUUCUAUCAUAUCCCAAGAUAUACAAUCAUAAAAAGAAAUUAUACCUUAAAAAAUUAUACCUCCGAUCCAAAUGUCAAUUUCUCCUAAAUUUCUUUUCUUUCGUAAAUAUUGAUGGAGAUUAAAAAUAAUAACUUCUGAUAAAUUAGCUUAAAGGAUCAAAUUAUUUGGGGCCUACUCAAGAAAUAUUUUAAACGUGUCAUCAAGUAUAAAGAAUAACUUUUGUUAUUUUCUCUAACUUAGGGAUUCCCUUGGAUGUAAAUGCAACAUCAACAUAGUGGAGUCAUAUUUAACACAUUGUGACGCCAUUAUUUCAUCGUGGUGACUUUUUCACUGAGGAAUAUGUACCUCUAUUAUAUUAAUCAAUAAAUUUAGAAACUAUCGUAAUUUAAUUAAAGUAUAUUACUAAAAGAUGAUUUUAUAUUAUUGUCAGUGUCAUACUGUUAAAAUGUCCCCAUUAAAAUGUCAGAUUUUGAACCUGAUAGCACUUACAAUUCAGACCCAAUAUCACUAUUAACUAGUUCAAAUUUUAGUAGUUAAAAAUGCUUCCAUAGUAAUAUUAUUUGUAAAAUAGUGUAUACUUGAGAAACCUAAAAUAAAAAUGAAUCAUUUUCAUUCUAUCUAAAUAAUAUAUAGCAGAACCAAAACUAUUGUUUUUUUUUAUAAAAAAAAGUUACAAUCUUUCAAAAAGCAACGCAUCUUAAAUCUGUUUAGACAAUGAACUCUAUAUUCUUGAGCGCAUUUCCCCAAAUUAUUAGAUCUUCAACAUGUUUAUACCCUUCGUUGGCACAUUAGUUUAUCUCUCUCCCCGGAUAUGAUUGAUAAAGGAGCAAAUACCGUAUACCAAUACAAUUCUUUUUCAAAUUUUCAAAGCUCGCGUAUUAUCUAAUAAACUUACUUUUGUUACAUCCAUUAUCCCUGAAAAACGAACAAAUUCUCCAAAAAGUUUAUAAAGUUUAAAGGCAUUUGAUGCUUCUGAACCAAUUCAAAAAGAUUCCACCAAAGAAAUCAUUCUUGUAUUGUAAUACUUUUGGUCGGCUUCCUCGAUUUUUAACUGGUAAAGUGAUUUAAAACUAAUUCAUUUCUUAAAACCUGUUAGUAUAUUCUUUCUCCAAACAUCUAUACGACAUACUAUCCUAUUAAACCCAUACUAGUUGAAGUAAUCUGUUAUUUAUCAAACAAAUUGGAGCUUUUUUUAAAAAAAAAUGUGAGUAAUUUAGAGUGAACAAUUUUUUGAUGUUUUUCAAAAACCUGAAUAUUCCAAAAUUCUGAAUUUUUCAAAAUUUUAUAGUCAAACGUGUUUUUCAGAGUUAAACACCCCCUUUAUUCACAUGAUAUCAGAACUAGACUCUUCUUUGUUCUUGGUUUAUCUAAGGUUAAUCUCCAUAUUAUUGUUCAUGCUCCAAAUGUUCAUAAAUCUUUCUUCAUAUCAACCAAGCUUAACCUCACUUCUAACUUACCGAAUCUCGAUCCUCCAUGUUAUAUGGUCACGCUCCAGAUAUCCAACUCUAGACAUGCAGGAUUGUUGUUGUUCCACAAUAGUUGACAUGUGUUCACUUUUAUCAACUAGCUUUUGAGGUUGAGUCAAAGACAAAAUACGCACUUUCCUCAUGGAGGCAGAGUUUUUAAUUUGAUCAAGUACCUUUUUCUUUUCCUUUAAACGUGAAUCAAAAUCCCAAAGUUGAUUUCUUUUUUCGUUAUUCCAUUUUAUCAAUUUGCAGAGAGGGAAAUAUAACUAGUUAGGCGUAUGACUCGUCCCACAUCAAUGUUGCAACAUAUUUAUCUGUUGUUUAUUAAGUGAACAACUACGAUUUAAGGACACGACCUUACUUGAAUUGUUGUUGUUCCACAGUAGUUGACAUGUGUUCACUUCUAUCAACUAGCUUUUGAGGUUGAGUCAAAGACAAAAUACGCACUUUCCUCAUGGAGGCAGAGUUUUUAAUUUGAUCAAGUACCUUUUUCUUUUCCUUUAAACGUGAAUCAAAAUCCCAAAGUUGAUUUCUUUUUUCGUUAUUCCAUUUUAUCAAUUUGCAGAGAGGGAAAUAUAACUAGUUAGGCGUAUGACUCGUCCCACAUCAAUGUUGCAACAUAUUUAUCUGUUGUUUAUUAAGUGAACAACUACGGUUUAAGGACACGACCCUACUUGAACAGGAUCUGGUACCACUGUAUCCUUGAUUUCUAAGGAGACAGGAAAUCAAGUAUGGUUGAUGAAGCAUGGCCAUUGACCAGAUGGCCUCAUGGCUGUCUGACAGACUCCUCAAACUUUUUGUUUGUUCCUCUUUCGUUCUCCGAAUACUAGCUUUCUAUUUCAGCACUGUUUGCUUCCAUUUUCAGCUACUCUUUGGUGAUACUUUCUGACUGCAAUUUAGAGUUCUUGGUCCCAAAAAGAAAAUAAAGUCUUCGUUGAGUAAGAAGGCUAGUAGCUAGAAAGCGACUUAAGAAUGGUUCUUCAAGCUAUUUGACUUACAUAAACUCAAGGCUGUGAUCCAAGCGCAUAAAGAGAGGAAAAGCUCACUGAACUUUAAUGGUUGAUAAAUACUAUGAUUGUAUUGUAGUAUUAGAAGACAAGAUAGUCAUUGAGUUGUUUACUUACAUAGUAUUAGAGCUGCUAGGAAGCUUAUCGUUUGGAAGAGUGUAUAAAAAUAAUAUUGAGUGUAUUAGUAAUGCUUGCAUUAGUUAUACAUAGAUUAUUUUUACGCACUGUUUGGUUUGAUGCAUUAAAAAUAAUAAUUUACAAAGAUACCCUUUACUAAUAUGGUGGAAAAGAUACAAAAAAGGUAUUGAGGGGCAAUUGGGUCUUUAAUUGAGUUAAUGCUUGCAUUAAAACCAUUGCAUUGCUAAUACCUAGAAAUCCAUGGUAUUAACAAUACACACCUUAAUACACAAUAGGGUGUAUCAGUUAUACAUAGGUUGGAAAAGAGCACCAAACAAGGCACUAUUAAUACACAAGGCUAAUGCAUGCAUUAUUUUUUUUAAUACACUCUACCAAACGAGAGUAUUACAGUUAAUGUAAUGGUAUUUUCCACCUGAAAGGCUUACUUGAAUUAAUCCAAACUGGAUGUCUGGCACGAUCCAAGUGCUGAAUGUAUGUAAAUUGAACAAUAGUAAUAUACCGAAGUAACAAUCUAUGUAUAGCUAUCACUUGUGUUAUUGCUGACAAAGAAGGGCAGCACCUACGAAACUUUAUGAUCAAAUAAGCUUUGCUUUGCACUUGGCAUAUCACACCCUGUUACUGAUUCAAACAAUCUGUACACAUGCCUAACUUGUAGAUAAAAUAUAAUAGGAGAAUAACCGAGUUCCUGAUAGUCAAGGAUCCUUACAAAAACAUGUGAGCCAAAAAGUGGAUCAUGGCAUAUGAAUCCUCAACAUUUUACAGACAAUACUGGGAAAAACAACCCCCUUCUUCAGAAUGUAUUAGAAUAAUAAAAUACACACAGGUGUGAAGCACUAAUACGCAACCCACACAUCUUCAUCCUUACAGCUUCGAAGCUGCAUCCUUAUCUAAAAAACAAACUAAUUCUCCUUCGGGUGAAACCAUCUGCACAGGCAGCAAAUCAGAACUUUUAUCAUCAUCACCUAGCAAUUUAUGCACUACAUCUGCCUUCCCAGCACCUACUAUAGCAAGUGCAAUAUUUGCAGAUGAGUUUAUUACAUGGAAUGUAAAUGUAAUCCUGUUCGGUGGAGGUUUUGGAGAGUCUUUGAUGAAGGUGACCCACUUCUCUUUCUCAUGGACAAGAGGAUGCCCGGGAAACAAGGAAGCUACAUGUCCGUCUGGACCCAUACCCAAUAGCAUUACAUCAAAUUUUGGAAAUCCACUCUCUUUAGAGAUGUCAAGAAUCUUGCUCUUAACUAAGUGCCUUAGACAAGUCUCGUAAUCAUCUGCCGCAGCCUCUGCUGAUAAUGCAUCAUUUAUGGCAUACACAUGACCAGCAGGAAUAGGUAUCUGCCAAAGAGAAGUAAAGGUGAGGUUAGAAGUUUGGUAGAAAGAAUUAAAGAUGUCAACUGAGAAUAAUGACGAAGUAAGAGUUAUCAUCAUUCAUAAUAAGAUCAAACAAUGUAGGCAGUUCACAUGUGAAGCAAGUACUAUGAGCAAUUUGAAAUCCAAAAAGAUGCCCUUGGCAGCUAUGCAUCACUAAACAUCUUUUCUGAUACAAAUUGGAUAAUUUAGUUCACAACCAUCUUUAUUUAAAUACUAUGUGCUUAAAAGCUAGUCAGACUGCCAACUAAGAAUUAAGAUGUCAAGGCAACCCAACUUGUUAGAGAUAACGAAGAGCCUUAACUGAAAGUAAGUAGGUCAACAUUGAGGUGCAAUUCAAACCCACUUAUUCAUCCUUAUAUUAGAAGAAAUUCAACAGAGUCAACAUAAAGUGUCCAACUGAUCUUAUCGGCAGCUCCACAUGGUAUUGAGUUGGGCAAUCUUUGCUCUUUAAGUUUCCCAACAUGCAUAAUUGACAAUUGUGCUUAAGCUAUAAUUACUUUUCAGUUGAUCCACCCUCAACCCCACUUAACUCUUCUAGCUACAAAAAUCUCCAAAUCAUUUCUCAUUAAGAAAUCUCUACCAUUGUAAAUGUUUGAAAAAAGGGACCUCAGUUGUUGUUUAAGGAGUGCUUCAGGGGUUGACAGGUUCUAUAAGAAGUAAUUUUAUAUCAGAAUUUUGUGAACCAAUGUUUUCUAAAAAAAAGUGAAUUUGAAGCUGUUUAUUCCAAUACAGUGCAAAGAUUUUCUUUUUAAUUUGUUGCUUUUACAUGAAUUACCCCGCCCCCCCCCCCCGAAAAUAAAUAUAUAUAUUUAUAUAUAUAUAUAUAUAAGUAGAGAUUGUUUCUUCCAUCCAUAUAGGUAGAGAUAGUUUAUUAUUUGAUCUAUUGAACAGAGAGUGCACAAAAUGUGUUAAAGAUAAGAAAUCUAAUGUGAAUUUACAUUUUAACAGGGAACAUCAUAUCAUUUUAGUUCUCACUAAUACAUUAGCAGGCUUAUCUUACUCAACUUCUUAAUCUAUGGGACUGCAGAAAAAGACAUGUUUAUAGUAUGCAUGACUUGCAUUCCUUGUUACCGCUGGCUUAACGCCCUCACAUAAUUACUUUCUCAACUGAUUUUCCCAAAUAUUUCAUCUGGAGUUGAUGAAUGAGAAUCUAAAUAACUCUAGAUGUAUUCUCCAUCAAUACUGUGCACUUUAAUCUCUGUUCACAUUUCCCCCCCUAAAACUUAUUUCUUAAGGAGAUUGAGACCAUCAGCAUAGCUCGUAACUAGAAAAAAAAUAACUUUUUUUAUAACCUGGUGUCGGGGAGCCUCUACUAAUACUUUGGGGUAUCUGAUUGAACAGAUGAGAAGAAAUCACUAGUGCAAUAAACCUACUGCGUCCCACAUUUUGACCGGGCAAACAAGCAAAAGAUCACAAAAGUUGGGGGAAAAAUAACAAAUAAACAGAGGAGAGGUGAAAUAUAAUGGGUAGAAAGCUAAUGAAGAAACUACAAAGUACACACUGUGGCAGCACUACAUAAAAUCAAUAUAUUGUAGGAAGAGCAGCAAAUAUACCUUGGAUAGAAAACCAUCAUAAGUAAGCAAAUAAUUGCUGUCAGGAUGAUCCCUUGGAACCACUCUCUCAUCCACCCAGAAAACGUGCCAUUUGGACCAGUCUAUUGAAUCAAUAUAUGGUGGCUCCACCAAUUUCCUGCAACAGACAUUAGCAACCCAAAAAAAAUCCCCAAAAUGAUACUUCCUAGUAGAAACGACGAGAAUUAAUCAAUCAUUACCUGAGAGACUUGAUAAGUGAACCACCGGAAACAACCACAGUAAAAGCAUCUCUCUCCUUACAAAAUUUCUCCGAUAAAUCCGCAGUGUACUUCGCUAGAGCCACAGCAAGUUCCUCCUCGGAAUCGUACACUUUCACUUCCGCUUUACUUUUCCCGGUCACUUUCUCAGCCAUUGAUGAUUUUGUUCUGAACUGAGAUCUCGAGGAAUUUGUACUCCGAUGCAGGUGGGAGCAGAAAAGUGGCUUUCCAGCAACGGACGGAGAGGUCAAGGGAAGGGUUCGUCGGAGAGGAGAGAAUCUGGUAGGUGAGAUGCGCAAGUUAGCAGAGAGAGCGGGAGGAGAGGAAGCUAAGUUCAGUGCGCACUCUGCCAUGUUAAAUAAGAAUGAAGAGACUUGUCCAUCGGCCUUGCGUCCAACAAUUGCUUUCUCUCUCCAGUUUUCGCUGCCUUCUGCUG